UAUGAAUUAUUUCUUCUUUUGCCUUUUCAUAUGUUUUGUAUUGUCAAAAAAGUUACUUAUUCUUCAUGCGGCUUCUAUGAUUUUGCAAUUUUCAUAAUUUUUCUCCAACUUCACUGUACGCCGGGCACACAGCAGAAAAUAUUUCAAGUCCUCAUUACUUUCAUGGACCAUUUCGCAUCCGGUGCCAUAUUUUGAAUCCUCUCCUUGGUCCUACAUUUGGACAAGAUCACUGAUGCAGUGGAUGACACUUCUACCAUAUCCAUCCAUUGUGUAUGCUGUCAAACUACACGACUGCCCCGCCAAUGCCGUGCUGCCAGAUCUUCCAGACUGACAUUACUCAGCAUUGAACAUGCUGAGGCUGAGGCAGCACAAAGAAGAGCAUCCCUUGCUCUACAUUCACUACAACACAGGUGUUCUACAGCCGUUCACUUACAAACAAGGGACCACUGAAAGCAAUGAUGGGU